UUUGACGUUAGCGGCGGACGGGUGAGUAACACGUGGGUAACCUACCUAUAAGACUGGGACAACUUCGGGAAACCGGAGCUAAUACCGGAUAAUAUGUUGAACCGCAUGGUUCAAUAGUGAAAGAUGGUUUUGCUAUCACUUAUAGAUGGACCCGCGCCGUAUUAGCUAGUUGGUGAGGUAACGGCUCACCAAGGCAACGAUACGUAGCCGACCUGAGAGGGUGAUCGGCCACACUGGAACUGAGACACGGUCCAGACUCCUACGGGAGGCAGCAGUAGGGAAUCUUCCGCAAUGGGCGAAAGCCUGACGGAGCAACGCCGCGUGAGUGAUGAAGGUCUUAGGAUCGUAAAACUCUGUUAUUAGGGAAGAACAAACGUGUAAGUAACUGUGCACGUCUUGACGGUACCUAAUCAGGAAGCCACGGCUAACUACGUGCCAGCAGCCGCGGUAAUACGUAGGUGGCAAGCGUUAUCCGGAAUUAUUGGGCGUAAAGCGCGCGUAGGCGGUUUUUUAAGUCUGAUGUGAAAGCCCACGGCUCAACCGUGGAGGGUCAUUGGAAACUGGAAAACUUGAGUGCAGAAGAGGAAAGUGGAAUUCCAUGUGUACGGUGAAAUGCGCAGAGAUAUGGAGGAACACCAGUGGCGAAGGCGACUUUCUGGUCUGUAACUGACGCUGAUGUGCGAAAGCGUGGGGAUCAAACAGGAUUAGAUACCCUGGUAGUCCACGCCGUAAACGAUGAGUGCUAAGUGUUAGGGGGUUUCCGCCCCUUAGUGCUGCAGCUAACGCAUUAAGCACUCCGCCUGGGGAGUACGACCGUAAGGUUG
rnacentral:rRNA from 1 species